rnacentral:rRNA from 1 species
CAGACUCCUACGGGAGGCUGCAGUCGAGAAUCAUUCGCAAUGGGCGCAAGCCUGACGAUGCGACGCCGUGUGAGCGAAGAAGGCCUUAGGGUUGUAAAGCUCUUUCGCC